rnacentral:lncRNA from 1 species
UUGUCGCCCAGUUUGCUGCUUCGACGGUCAAGCGCUUUUUGGUCCCAACCCAUGUCCAAUGGCCGUCAAUCUUCCUAAUGCCAAUCCAGUAGUAUGCCCGAUGGAAGGGGAGGAUUUCGUUGAGGUAUGCAAUUUCUGCCUGGUUUUGGAUGGCCACCAUAUCCGUGAAAUGCGUUUGACACCACUGACGAGCUGCUGUCCAGUCCAACUUACUGUCGAUGUUGUAAUGAUCAGAGUGGAGGAGCUGGAGUCUCGCAGAUUGUAUCCUUCAUCACACACAAACGUACAGCUGGACAGAUAGCUGAACUGACCCAUCGGAUGAUUACAAUACAUGUCACCUUCCAGUGGUUUGGCCAGCUCUGGGCAUUGAACAACUGUAAAAAAGUCAACAGAUAUUUCAAGAUCAGCGUAGAGGAGCUGGAGUUCUGCAGUUUGUAUCCUUCAUCACACACAAACUCACAGCUGGACUGAUAGCUGAACUGACCCAUCGGAUGAUUACAUUGCAUGCCACCUUUCUGUGGAUUGGCCAACUCUGAGCAUUGAACAACUGCAAAGAAAUUCCACAGAAAUUUCAAGCUGGUCUCUGAAACUCCUGUGAGGAUGAAUCCUUCUCCACAACUGAAGCUGCAUUUACUCCCAUAACUAAAGCUUAAAGUGCAGCUGAGAUCGCCAUUGACAGGUUUUUCAAGGGCUGGACACUGAACAACUGAAUGAUCAGAGUAGAAGAGCUGGAGUCUCGCAGUUUGUAUCCUUCAUCACACACAAACUCACAGCUGGACUGAUAGCUGA